rnacentral:rRNA from 1 species
CAGGUCACUCCUACGGGAGGCAGCAGUGGGGAAUAUUGGACAAUGGGGGCAACCCUGAUCCAGCAAUGCCGCGUGAGUGAUGAAGGCCCUAGGGUUGUAAAGCUCUUUUACCCGGGAUGAUAAUGACAGUACCGGGAGAAUAAGCCCCGGCUAACUCCGUGCCAGCAGCCGCGGUAAUACGAAGGGGGCUAGCGUUGCUCGGAUUUACUGGGCGUAAAGGGCGCGUAGGCGGAUGUUUAAGUCGGGGGUGAAAGCCCGGGGCUCAACCUCGGAAUUGCCUUCGAUACUGGACAUCUUGAGUACGGGAGAGGUGAGUGGAACUCCGAGUGUAGAGGUGAAAUUCGUAGAUAUUCGGAAGAACACCAGUGGCGAAGGCGACUCACUGGCCCGUUACUGACGCUGAGGCGCGAAAGCGUGGGGAGCAAACAGGAUUAGAUACCCUGGUAGUCCACGCUGUAAACGAUGAGUGCUAGUUGUCGGCAUGCAUGCAUGUCGGUGACGCAGCUAACGCAUUAAGCACUCCGCCUGGGGAGUACGGUCGCAAGAUUAAAACUUAAAGGAAUUGACG